rnacentral:rRNA from 1 species
UGGCGGCGUGCUUAACACAUGCAAGUCGUGCGAGAAAGGUCCUUCGGGGACUGAGUAGAGCGGCGCACGGGUGAGUAACGCGUGGGUGACCUACCCAGGAGACCGGGAUAACAGUGGGAAACUGCUGCUAAUACCGGGUACGCUUCAUAUUUCACGUAUGGGGGAAAGGCGGCCUCUGCUUGCAAGCUGCCACUCUUGGAUGGGCCCGCGUCUCAUUAGCUUGUUGGUAGGGUAACGGCCUACCAAGGCGACGAUGAGUAGCUGGUCUGAGAGGAUGAUCAGCCACACUGGGACUGGAACACGGCCCAGACUCCUACGGGAGGCAGCAGUGGGGAAUAUUGCGCAAUGGGCGAAAGCCUGACGCAGCGACGCCGCGUGAAGGGGAAGAAGGCCUUCGGGGUCGUAAACCUCUGUCAGGAGGGAAGAAACCAUGGGAGUCGAAUAGGCUCUCGUGCUGACGGUACCUCCGGAGGAAGCACCGGCUAACUCCGUGCCAGCAGCCGC